GGGCCUAAAUUAAAAUAUUGUUUGUUUGCCCUUUUCCGACCCUAUGUUUUGAAACAGGGUAGGUAGGUAGGUAAAAUAUUUUAUUUUUUUCCCCAAAAAAAUAACUUGGCUCGGUAUAUUAUUUGUCAUGGGUAGGCAGGUAGGUAAAAUAUUUUAUUUUAUAGAUACAAAAUCUGCAUAAUGUCAUUUUUUUGUCCGUUUUGUUUUUGCAAAUAAGUUUUCCGCUGGGACUAUUAGUUUUGAAAAAAAUAAAUAUAUAAGAGAUAACUUGGUAAGAUAAUGUCCGGGCAGACAUACAUUACUAGUAGAAAAAGUCCCUAGAGUGUUACAAAUUUCGUGUGUGCCUUUUUUCCAAUAAAAAUGCUAUAAGACUUAAAACUCAAUUGUCACGUAUUUUACAUCCCAUUUAUAAAUGAUCUGUAUGGAAAACUUGGCGAUUUUACUGCCAAAUAUUUUCCACUUUACAGGGUUUUGUCACUUUUGGUUCAUGUCAGAUAUAAAUAAUUUAGCGGCAUCGUUAACAUAAUCAUUCUGAUAUGCGGAUCACAAAAGGCCAUCCCUACAUAGAAUACAACGUCCGUUUACAAAUUAGUUUGUACACACGUUAAUACUUUUGUAUCAAACGAACUUUUUUGUAAAUGAACCCUGCUCUUUAAGUUUAAAGGUACAGAGUAACGUACUUCAUAUCAUGAUUUCAGAAAGCGUUCAACAUCGAUUUCAAACAAAUGCUUUGAAACUUCAAAUGCAAGUGUUCAUGUCAAACGCUCAGGUGAUACCAAACGGACUGGACCUUAUACGUAAAGAUAAAACCCGAGGAUUCCGGUAAAAAAGUUUUGAGCGGGGAAAUACAAAUAUAAGAUUUUUGGUAGGAACGAAAAAAUAAAAUAAAAUAAAAUCUUGCUGGUAAAUACAAAUAAAAGAUUUUCAGGCGGAACGAAUUGAUAGGGUCGGUCGGUAAAGGGCAAACAAACAAUAUUUUAAUUUAAGCCUAGAACAGCUAAAGAAACACCAUCAUAAUUCAAACUUAAUCUGUAUUUAAAGUAGUUGGCAUUGUGUAUAAGUUUCCUAAUAUUUGGUUGUCCCAAACUAAAGUUAGAGAACAGAAAAAAAUUUCAAGAUGUAUGGAUGUACAGGAGUAAAUCUUGAUGACCCCUCUGCUAGUGGGGGCAUACACAAAUGUUUUCAUAAAGCAAACGGUUUAACCUACCUUCCAAUGCUACCCUAUCUAACUUAUUUUGAAGUGAAAUAGGAAACACACAAUUAAUUUAUUUAUUUGGCCGGACAGUGUUGUGGUUGAUUAACUAAUACGAAAUAAACCAACCAUAAUACAAGGUUUAUUCAAUU
rnacentral:lncRNA from 1 species